rnacentral:rRNA from 1 species
AGUCUCAGUUCGGAUUGGAGUCUGNAACCCGACUCCAUGAAGCUGGAUUCGCUAGUAAUCGCGCAUCAGCCACGGCGCGGUGAAUACGUUCCCGGGCCUUGUACACGCCGCCCGUCAAGCCAUGGAAGCCGGGAGUGCCUGAAGUGCGUGAGCGCAAGCAGCGCCCUAAGGUAAAACCGGUGACUGGGCUAAGUCGUAACAAGGUAGC